GAUGAACGCUAGCGGCAGGCCUAACACAUGCAAGUCGAGGGGUAGAAGGAGCUUGCUCCUUUGAGACCGGCGCACGGGUGCGUAACGCGUAUGCAAUCUACCUUAUACAGGGGAAUAGCCCAGAGAAAUUUGGAUUAAUGCCCCAUGGUAUUAUUAAGUGGCAUCAUUUGAUAAUUAAAGUUCCAACGGUAUAAGAUGAGCAUGCGUCCCAUUAGUUAGUUGGUAAGGUAACGGCUUACCAAGACGAUGAUGGGUAGGGGUCCUGAGAGGGAGAUCCCCCACACUGGUACUGAGACACGGACCAGACUCCUACGGGAGGCAGCAGUGAGGAAUAUUGGUCAAUGGAGGCAACUCUGAACCAGCCAUGCCGCGUGCAGGAAGAAGCAUCUAUGGUGUGUAAACUGCUUUUAUACAGGAAGAAACAACGCUACGUGUAGCGUCUUGACGGUACUGUAAGAAUAAGGACCGGCUAACUCCGUGCCAGCAGCCG
rnacentral:rRNA from 1 species